rnacentral:rRNA from 1 species
UAGGGAAUAUUGCGCAAUGGGCGAAAGCCUGACGCAGCGACGCCGCGUGAGUGAUGAAGGCCUUCGGGUCGUAAAGCUCUGUUGUACGGGAAGAAGUUUGCAGUGCUAAUACCACUGCAAAUUGACGGUACCGUAUAAGAAAGGACCGGCUAACUUCGUGCCAGCAGCCGCGGUAAGACGAGGGGUCCUAGCGUUGUUCGGAAUCACUGGGCGUAAAGCGUUUGUAGGCGGCCCUAUAAGUCGGGUGUGAAAUCCCACGGCUCAACCGUGGAAGUGCAUUCGAAACUGUAGGGCUUGAAUAUGGUAGAGGAGAGUAGAAUUCCUGGUGUAGUGGUGAAAUACGUAGAUAUCAGGAGGAAUACCGGUGGCGAAGGCGGCUCUCUGGACCAAUAUUGACGCUGAGAAACGAAAGUGCGGGGAUCAAACAGG